rnacentral:rRNA from 1 species
UACAUGGGGUGCAAACGUUGCUCGGAAUUAUUGGGCGUAAAGCGCACGUAGGCGGUUCGUUAAGUCGGAUGUGAAAGCCCUCGGCUCAACUGAGGAAGUGCACCCGAAACUGGCGAGCUUGAGUACGAAAGAGGAUCGCGGAAUUCCCGGUGUAGAGGUGAAAUUCGUAGAUAUCGGGAGGAACACCGGUGGCGAAGGCGGGUCUCUGGGCAGUAACUGACGCUGAGGAGCGAAAGCGUGGGGAGCGAACAGG